GGGCGUAUAGCUCAGUUGGUUAGAGCGCGUCCCUGAUAAGGACGAGGUCCCCGGUUCAAAUCCAGGUACGCCCACCA
rnacentral:tRNA from 1 species